GACGAACGCUGGCGGCGUGCCUAAUACAUGCAGGUAGAACGCUGAAGGAGGAGCUUGCUUCUCUGGAUGAGUUGCGAACGGGUGAGUAACGCGUAGGUAACCUGCCUGGUAGCGGGGGAUAACUAUUGGAAACGAUAGCUAAUACCGCAUAAUAUUGACUAUUGCAUGAUAGUCAGUUGAAAGGUGCAACUGCACCACUACCAGAUGGACCUGCGUUGUAUUAGCUAGUUGGUGGGGUAACGGCUCACCAAGGCGACGAUACAUAGCCGACCUGAGAGGGUGAUCGGCCACACUGGGACUGAGACACGGCCCAGACUCCUACGGGAGGCAGCAGUAGGGAAUCUUCGGCAAUGGACGGAAGUCUGACCGAGCAACGCCGCGUGAGUGAAGAAGGUUUUCGGAUCGUAAAGCUCUGUUGUAAGAGAAGAACGAGUGUGAGAGUGGAAAGCUCACACUGUGACGGUAUCUUAACAGAAAGGGACGGCUAACUACGUG
rnacentral:rRNA from 1 species